CAUGUCCUUUUGAUUAUAAUUUAAGGUCUGAUCUGCUCAAUGAUUUUUAAAUAGCCGCAGUAUUUUGACUGUGCAAAGGUAGCAUAAUAAUUAGUUUCUUAAUUAGGAACUGGUAUGAAUGAUUUGACAAGAAAAUUUCUGUCUCUUUCUUAGAUUUUUUGAAUUUUAUUUUUAAGUGAAAAAGCUUAAAUUUUUAUAAAAGACGAGAAGACCCUAUAGAGUUUAAUAAAUUAAUUUAAUUAUAUUUUGGAAUUGAUUUUUAUUUAUAUUUAUUUGUUUGGGGUGAUCUAAAGAUAUAAUUAAUUCUUUAAUAUUUAAAUUAGUUAUUUCUAAAUUUUUAAUCUAUAGUUUAUAAAACUAAAAUAAAUUACCUUAGGGAUAACAGCGUAAUUUUUCUUAAAAGUUCUUAUUUAAAGAAAAGUUUGCGACCUCGAUGUUGGAUUAAAAUUAAUUUUUGGUGCAAUAACUUAAAAAUUAGGUCUGUUCGACCUUUAAAAUUUUACAUGAUCUGAGUUUAAACCGGUGUAAACCAGGUUGGAUUCUAUCUUUAGAAAUAUAAUAUAUUUUAGUACGAAAGGACCAAAUAUGUAUUAAAUUAAUUG
rnacentral:rRNA from 1 species